CACAGGGCCCCAUGAGGGGCUCGAACCUUCUAACGGUGAAUCCUGGGAAACACUUAUACAUCCAACUCCUUCACCCUGGUGCCACCUGUAUUGCAUGUUGUUUUCGAUCUUUGAGUAGGAAGGUUCCUCUUCACUUCCUUAAGAUUAGAAAUGCUCAUUUGGCUAACUGAUCUAGUCAGUAAUGAACACCAAAUGCUGACUAGGAGACUCAGGAGCUGGUGCCGAAGGUGGACAUGGAAGAAGGAGACGGUGGGAUCUGCACAUGAAUGAAGAGACCUGACUGUGAAGUGUUAGAGGAUUUAUUAAAGAACUGGACAGUUUCCUUUAUAGUCUUUGUGAAGCCUCAGAGUUACUAACUGCCAGUGCAAUAUGGUAUCACAAAGAUAAUAGCCUUUAUUAGAAGUUUAGUUUUCUAUUCCUACCUUGGAAAGCUGUAGCUUAAGAAACCCAAGUGGUCAACGUUUGUGGCACUUCUCUCUCUCUUCCAGAACCAUUUAAAAUAUAUGUUUUUUAAAUUUAGUUUUGCCGGAAAAAUCUGCAUCCAAUUUGAAUGAAAUUGAAUAUGUUUCAGGGCUCAAGCAGCAUGUCUUCCAUCUGAAGCAAAAUGGAGAUGAAUUUCAAUUAGGUGUUCCCAUUAUAAUCUGUCUCCACCUGUAGUUUUCAUCAAAAAUUGCUAGGAAGUGUGGUAUAAUGUAUGAUCAGGAUUUGCCCACUGGCAGCAGUGUCCCAUUAUCUUAGUAAAAAAGCACAAAAUAAUUAGUCUGAUGCAUAUAGAUAGCAGCUCCUUAC